rnacentral:rRNA from 1 species
CGAAACAGUUUAUAGUCGUCCAACUUCAGCCGUAUGCCUCGAACCAAAUAUGACCUGUAAAGAAUGAAUACGGACAGCAGAUGCAUGCUGGUGUUUCAGCACGCCAGAACUAGUUAGUGGGGAUACUGAGGCACACUAGUACCUACCGGCAAGAAAGGAACAGUCCUGCAUCUACUCAAGAAUAAUCAUGACAAAAGGCAUACAUCAAGCAAGUCAUUACUAGUCAUGAACGAAAGUGUGGGGAUCGAGGACGAUCAGAUACCGUCGUAGUCUCAACCAUAAACUAUGCCGACUAGGGAUCGGGCGAUGUUUCUUUCUUGACUCGCUCGGCGCCCUUCCGAGCACUAAAAGUUUUUUGGCUCGGAGGGGAGUGUGGUCGCAAGGAUGAAAACUAAUGAAAUUGACUGAAGGGCUCCACCAGGAGUGGAGCCUGCGGCUGAAUUUGACUCAACACGGGGAAACUCACCAGGUCCAGACAAGGUAAGGGAUGACAGAUUGAUAGCUCUUUCUUGAUUUUUUGGGUGGUGGUGCAUGGCCGUUUUUAGUUUGUGGAGUUAUUAGUCUGGUUAAUUGCGAUAACGAACGAGACCUUAACCUGGUUAAUGAAACCGACAGCUUUGGCCGGUAGUCCGCUUUUUAGAGGGACUAUUGGCACAAAGCCAAUGUAAGUGUGGGGCAAAAACAGUUCUGUAAUUCUUUAAAUGUUCGGUUUCCGGCCCGUUACACGACCGAGCCCACAGAGAGACAGAAGGACAGGACCGUCCGGGUAAUCUUGCGAAACUCUGUCGUCCUGGGGAUAGAGCCCACAAUUCUUGCUCUUCAACGAGAAAUUCAUCGUCGAGCUAGUCAAAAUCGGGGCUAGAUUACGUCCGGCCCUUGCACACGCCGCCAGUCAAGGGCGAAGCAGGGCCUAAAAAAAUUUUUAACCUUAUC